rnacentral:rRNA from 1 species
AUUGAACGCUGGCGGCAGGCCUAACACAUGCAAGUCGAGCGAGCGGCGGACGGGGGAGGAUUGUAUGGGGACUGCCCGAUAGAGGGGGAUAACUAUUGGAAACGCUGGCGAAUAUCCCAUACUAUCGAAUAAACCAUAUGGGAAUAGCGAGUAGGUGUGGUAAGGGCUCACCUAGACGACGUUCCCUAGAUGGUCUGUGAGGAUGAUCCGCCACACUGGAACUGAGACACGGCCCAGACUCCUACGGAGGCAGCAGUGGGGAAUAUUGCACAAUGGGCGCAAGCCUGAUGCAGCCAGGCCGCGUGUAUGAAGAAGGCCCUAGGGUUGUAAAGUACUUUCAGUCGGGAGGCGUUACCGACAGAAGAAGCACCGGCUAACUCCGUGCCAGCAGCCGCGGUAAUAC